GGCUCCUUAUAGGUUGUAGACAUCCGCUAAGAACGGAUUUUACGGAAUUUGACCCCUAAGGGGGUAAAACGGGGGUUGGAAGUUUGUAUGAAAGUUCUAUGUUUUUGAAGUAAGAUGCUAGGGUAUUUAAAAUGUAUGCUCUAUAAACGAUGAGAAGAUGUUCAAAUAAUGUAUAUUUAGAAAUCAACUCCUUUUUUGGGUUAAAGCGGGGGAUGGUAGGUUGACUCACUCAUCACGAAAUCUCCGAAACUAUAACACCUAGAAACUUGAAAUUUGGCAGGUAGGUUUCUUAUAGAGCGUAAACAUUCGCUAAGAACGGAUUUUACGAAACUCGAUCCUUAAAGGGGUAAAACGGGGGUUGGAAGUUUGUAUGAAAGUUCUAUGUUUUUGAAGUAAGAUGCUAGGGUAUUUAAAAUGUAUGCUCUAUAAACGAUGAGAAGAUGUUCAAAUAAUGUAUAUUUAGAAAUCAAUUCCCUUUUGGGGUUUAAAGGGGGGUGGUAGGUUGACUCACUCAUCACGAAAUCUCCGAAACUAUAACAGCUACAAACUUGAAAUUUGGCAGG
rnacentral:misc_RNA from 1 species